rnacentral:lncRNA from 1 species
AAGAAAUGAAAAGAUCAAAUCAACAAAAAGUUUGUUGAAUAGAAAAAUAAAAAGUUGGACUUGAGCUAAGGUCAAAUUGAUCGGAAGAAUUUGAAUUCAAUUCAUAACUGAAAUCAUUUUAGGUAAGACUUUUCUCACCGUUCGAUCAAAUUCUAGAUUAUUAGGACCAUUUGUCCAUGUCAAAAAAAAAAAAAAAAAUCAUGAAAAGACAUGUUUAACUUUGUUUAGGCCAUGUGUGAAAUUGAACCAGGAAUAAAUAGGAGGAUUUGGAAGAAUAUGGUAGGAAUGCAAAGUAAGUUGCUAUUAUGGUUAAAAGAAAAAUGGAGAAUCGCAUAAAAUGCAAAAAAAAAAAAAAAACUUAAGCAUAAAAUGCAAAAAAAAUCUUAAAAGUGUUGCUUUACACAUUGCUAUUUAAGUUAGGCUUAAUUAUACAUAGAAUGCACUAGGUGAUUUCUAGCACUAUCAAAAGAAAAUUAGAAAGCUAGAGAUAGGAAAAAAAUUACAUGCAAGGACAGAAAAUACAAUUUUUUUUACGUGAUUAUAUGAAAUAAUACUCACCUCUCAGUUUUAGCAAGACAAUUUCAAUUAGCACUUUCAGCCAUUCACAUAACAUAUAUAUUCACAAAAUGUAGAACAUGUUUUGUAACUGUACAUAUUUCACCAAACACCAACUUCACAUUUGCAUGCUGCCGCUGCAAACGCAAAGAACUAUGUGAAUGUUUGGUUGGAUGCGUAAUGAGUUUGCCAGAAUAAUAGUGUGCCGCCGUGAUUUUGGCUAAUGCCACACUUUGGAGAUAAAACAAAAUCUCAAUGUCACUGAAAUUUUUUCAAACUUACUAUGAUUCUAAACAUGCAUGAUCAUAUUUGUCGCUUACUGCCAUCACGUGGCAUAAGUAAUAAGUUUUUCAUUUCUCUGUAACUAUGAAACUCUUCCAAUGCAUCACUUGUUGUUUUCCUAUUCCCAGAAGACAUUGUGCUCACUGGUGUUAGGCUCUCUAGAAUCUGGUUCGGCUCUUGAAAGUUAUUGCUCUUCAAGUUUUCAGCACGGGCGCCCUGAGACAAGUUUUCACCAGUGGAGAAGUCUUGAUGCAGAGGUGCUGCUUUCUUCAACAUAUGCACAAGUGCACCAACAGCGGCACCUUGAGACUUUCUGAUUGGAAAGAACCUACCAGCUUCAAGAAGUUGAGUCAUAUCACCACGAUCGAAAGAUUCCGCUCUGAUGCAUGCACAAGGAAACAGAUUAAACUUUUGAACUAGUAGACUAAAAAUCUGUCAUAUUUUGUCAUAUAUGAUUCAACAAAAUAAAGAAAAGAUUGCCAGAUUGUAGGAAUAAACUAUAUAAGUGACCACUAUCAAGUAUCGGGUCUACAAACUAAUUACUAGUUUGCUGCUAUAGGUACAACUAAAGUGAACAAUCAUAAUCAAGAUCAGAUCAUUUCAGAUUUGAUUGUAUUCUUGGUUUUAAUUGUAUUUUAGGACAGAAUCAAAUCAAUCAAUCUGUUUUGAUUUGACUCCUAUUUCUAUUUUUCUUUCAAUUUUGUUGCAUCAAGAAGUUUUCCUCUUCUCUAACUGCUUUAACCUAGCGGUAGCCCUAACAUCACAUGGUAUCUGUUAGGAUAUAAAAUAAAGGGAAAUUAGAGUAGUUAAAGUAGUUAGCUAAUUGAUUAUUGAGAGAGUAUUUGUAUAAAUAGGAGAAUACAAAGAUAUAGAUCAAUGUCCUUUGUUCUAAGAUCAUCACGGAAUAUUGUAAACUUUGUGGAUAGAGUAGUGUCUCAACUGUCCUUGGAGGAGAGAUUUCUCUUCUGUUAUCUUUUAUCAUUACUCAGUCUUUCAAUAAAAUUGUCCAUUCUUUUCCAUUCAAUUCUUGGGUUCCUAACAGUAUCAGAGCUUCAGCUCUUAUCCAAUGGCAGCUCACUACGGAAAAACUACAUGAUUAGAGAGCAUAGCUCCACAUAAAAAUAUGAGGACAAGAACUCCUCCUUCACCACACCUUCCAAUAAUUCUGGCGGCUCUGAAACUAUAUCAGCCGCUGCCGUAUCUGAUCCUCUGUCUACUACUUUUGAACUAAAAGUUUAAUGACAAAGACUGUUGAAUGGGCUCAAUCCGAAAAACUAGUUUUCAACUGGAAAGUCCCCUCUAGUAAAGAAGACCAACCCCUAUCUACAAAAAUGGGAGUUAGGAAAGUCACUAAUUAUUGCGUGGCUGAUCAACUUGAUGGAAUCUUCCAUUUGGAGGACAUAUUUUUUCCUCCAAACUGCAAAAGAUGUGAGGGAGGUUGUUCGCAGUUGUUACUCUCACCUGGAGAACUCUUCUAAGAUUUAUGAACUCUAGAUUCAACUGUGGGAGUCCAAAUAAGAAGACAAUGAUGUCCCAACAUAUUACAACCUCUCUUGCAAGAGCUUGACCGGUGCUAUGAGGAUAAUUGGGAAUAUCCCAAUGAUGCCACUAGAUGGGAAAAUCCCAAAGAUGCCACUAGAUUCAAGAAAAGAGAAGAGAAUGAUUGAGUCUACAUGUUUCUAGGACUCAAUCAAGAACUUGGUGAAGUUCGUGGCAGUAUUCUAGGCAGAAAAUCUGCGCUGUCAAUACGGGAAGUGUUCUCUGAAGUAAGGAGAGAGGAACUCAGGAAAAAGAUUAUGCUACAACAUUCCAAAGGUAUAAAGAUUAAAGAGGCUGAAAGUUCUGCUUUGGCUGCAAGGGGACAUGAACAAGAAGGGGAGAGAACGAAGAAACCUUGGUGUGAUCAAUUUAGAGGGUUGUAGAAAACUAAGCAAAGCUGCUCAAAAUUUCAUGGAAAACCCCCAAACUUGAAAGAGAAGCCAAAUUGAGAGGGUCAGGUUUUCCAAGCUGCAAGUGAAAGAAACAACUAGAGCACCAGUAUAAACUCUUUACAACAAAAAUAUCAGUUUUAUCUACCCUCAGAGCUCAAAAAGCUAUCUCUUUCUUUUCUGCUUUCUCGAAUACUAAAUCAUACUCUAAAGCUCCAUGGACAUUUGAUUUUGAAGCCACAAAUCACAUGACAUUAUUCAAAACUGUUUUAUGCAUAUAGUACUUGUGCAGAUCAUAAAAAGAUCAAAAUAGUUGAUGUUACCUUUUCUACUAUAGCUGGCAUAGGUUCAAUUUCUUUAUCUAAAACCCUAACCCUCCACAAUGUUCUUCAUGUUCCACAUUUAUCAUGAAAUCUGCUGUCCAUAAGUAAAUAACCCAAGAACUUAGCUGUUUGGCUAUUUUUGACUCAUUUAGUUGUAAAUUUCAGGAGCUGAGUUUGAUGAGCAUGAUUGGCAGUGCUAAAGAGGUUGAUGCUCUCUAUCUCUUUGAAGAUGAGGCUGGUUUUUAGGAGAAACUUCAGAAUGAGUGUCUCAAAUCAAUUCAAAAUUUGGGCGAAUUAAGCCAGCCUAGUCCAAUUUCACCCACGGUUGUUUCAAAGCGGUUUCCAUUUCAAAUAUGCAGAGAUAUAGCAAAGUUGCUGCAUUCAUCAUCAUUUCAUAUUUUGUUUUACAAAGGGAAGUCUUCACGCAACAGUUGGAGUUGUUAUUAUAUGAUUAGGAGGUUUUGAGUUCAUGUCAUAGUUUUUGAAGGUUGUCUUCUUUUUUAUUUGGGUUAAUAGUGUUUUUCACCCCUGUAAUAUAUGCCAUUUCUGGUUUUCGCCCCUAUAAAAUUUUCGGUUUGAUUUGCACCCUUGUAAAAAAUUUAUUUUCCGGAAAACACCCCUAAUACUAUAACCACUUUUUCAAAGAAAGUGUUCUUUAUAAUUGUAAUCAAACAUAAAAUGGCUUUUGCUUUACAUAAAAUCUCUAAACAAUUAUUCGUUUUCUUACUAAAUCAUAAAACCACUUUUAUUAAAAGCUUAAACAUAUGCUCCCAUUGGUGUGUAAAGAUAGGAGUUCAAUAAAGGACACAUACCCUAUCUACAACAAAAACUAGUGCAUAAAUCAUGAAAUUUGGUAAGCCAAAGAAUUAGUAGAAGAGAGAACAGGUUGUAAAACAAAUCUGACUUAAUAUUUUAAGUGAUAGGACCACAGUAAUCCAUCAAAGAAAAGAAUGGCAAAACCAGCAGACUGGUUGAUUAAAUAUAUCCA